GAGGAUAUAGCUCAAGUAGUAGAGCACAUGCUUAGCAUGCACAAGGUCUGGGUUCAAUCCCCAGUACCACCU
rnacentral:tRNA from 1 species